rnacentral:rRNA from 1 species
CCUACGGGAGGCAGCAGUGAGGAAUAUUGGUCAAUGGACGAGAGUCUGAACCAGCCAAGUAGCGUGAAGGAUGACUGCCCUAUGGGUUGUAAACUUCUUUUAUAUGGGACUAAACUGUUCCACGUGUGGGAUUUUGUAUGUACCAUAUGAAUAAGGAUCGGCUAACUCCGUGCCAGCAGCCGCGGUAAUACGGAGGAUCCGAGCGUUAUCCGGAUUUAUUGGGUUUAAAGGGAGCGUAGGUGGAUUGUUAAGUCAGUUGUGAAAGUUUGCGGCUCAACCGUAAAAUUGCAGUUGAAACUGGCAGUCUUGAGUACAGUAGAGGUGGGCGGAAUUCGUGGUGUAGCGGUGAAAUGCUUAGAUAUCACGAAGAACUCCGAUUGCGAAGGCAGUUCACUGGACUGCAACUGACACUGAGGCUCGAAAGUGUGGGUAUCAAACAGGAUUAGAUACCCGUGUAGUC